rnacentral:rRNA from 1 species
CCUACGGGGGGCAGCAGUGGGGAAUAUUGCACAAUGGGGGAAACCCUGAUGCAGCGACGCCGCGUGAGUGAAGAAGUAUUUCGGUAUGUAAAGCUCUAUCAGCAGAGAAGAAAAUGACGGUACCUGCUUAAGAAGCCCCGGCUAACGACGUGCCAGCAGCCGCGGGAAUACGUAGGGGGCAAGCGUUAUCCGGAUUUACUGGGUGGAAAGGGGGCGUAGACGGCAGCACAAGUCUGGAGUGAAAUGCCGGGGCUUAACCCCCGAACUGGUUUGGAAACUGUGCAGCUAGAGGGGAGGAGAGGUAAGUGGAAUUCCUAGUGUAGCGGUGAAAUGCGUAGAUAUUAGGAGGAACACCAGUGGCGAAGGCGGCUUACUGGACUGUAACUGACGUUGAGGCUCGAAAGCGUGGGGAGCAAACAGGAUUAGAUACCCUGGUAGUC